UUUAGUUGUGUGAUCUUUAAUGUUGCAGUGGAGAUGCUUUUUCAGAUUUGCAGUAGACUCUUUAGAGUUCUUGUUCAGACUACAUUUGCUUUACCUUUUCUCUCAUUUUUUGUUUAAUUUGAGUCAACACAAGACUGAAAUAUGGAAAAAUAUUAAAUUGCUAUCUUAAUUAGGAAAAGUCUGGCUCAGGUUGCUGCAAUCAAGUAACAGCCAAUAAGGAGUAGCUCUUAGCUAUUAUAAAGGUGGGACACCUGCAUGUGAACAAAGAGUUUGCAGCAACCAGUGUUGUAGAGUGAGCUGUCUCCAAGUACCACCUUUGUGUGCUUCACAGCAGUUCCUUGAGAACAGGGAAUUGAGAAGCUUACAUGGGCACAUAAGUCUUCUUCAAAGGAAGAAACGGCUCAUUAGAAGAAUAAUGAGAACAUGUAAGCUGAUCAUCAAAGAUCCGUAACACAGGGAUCAUGAACCCUCAGAUACAAGGACAGGUGUGUGAAGAAAGGUAUUGAACCCUUCAGCAAAACUCACAGAGGGCAAAAAGUGGAGUCCUUAUUGCAGUUAGCAUCUGUCUGCACUGGUAUAAGUCAGCCCUCAGGUGAAACUUGAGUCUGAAGCACAGGAUGAUUAAUGUGCUGUUGAGCUCCUCCUUUUGGAUCUUUCUGGAGUUGGAAACAGAAACACUAAGAAAGCAGUCUGAAGUAAUGGAGUAGCCUGGCUUGGUGAAUGAAGUACAUAAAAUCCAUGUUUCAAUCUCAAGACUGAAAGGUUUCCCUCACUUCAUUCCUCUUUUGAACCACUGAAGCGUUGUCUUGAGAACAACUUGGACAUUUCAUUCCUGUUAUCUGAGAAUAAGAUCACCCAAAACCUUGUGUGCUUGCAUAAAAUAAGCAGUGACAGAGGGAAGAGGCUGAGCAUUCAGGUGGAGAGAAGGGAGGCAAUUCUCGAGAGUGAGAGAUACGAUUUUGUGGCCAGUGUGAAACAAAACAAAACGAAACAAAAUGCAGAGAGAUGAUAAAAUAUCCCUUCUGUCUCCAUUUCACUCUCAUUUUAAUGUAUCUUCAGACUAAAGCAGUGACAUCACAUUAUCAGCUGGAGACUUUUGGAAAUGGAUCUCUUAAAAAGAUGUCAGAAAACAGAUAAACACAGAAUACAUAUCUAAGCUAUUGGAUGCUUAUAAAAGAUGGGCAAAGGAAAAUGCUGUCCAAUCCCAAGAAAUGCAAAAGAAUUAUCGAGCAUGACUGUGCCUCUCUUGCCGUUUUGAUAUUGGGGAAUUCAUCCAGCUGUGAACCCAUGUUUUUUGUGAGUAUGCACAUACAGUAUAUAUAUAUAUCUGUGGUAUCACAAUCCUAAAUUCUCACGUUCCUCCUGCAUUAUUUUAGAAAUUGGUUAAAUAACAACAUUAGCUGUUCAGUCUUCUGCCUGAAUCUUCAGGUGGAGUGGAGGCUUCAUGUACUCUGUGUCCUUUGAGUGUCAGUACCUGAAUCCUUGGUCCUUCUUCCCAGAAAGAACAGUCAUGCUGUUGACAUUUCAUAUGAGUGAAGCAGUGGGAAACUGCAUAGUAAUAGCCACUGUUUCAGUAUCUCUAGAAGUGCUGUUUUAUGAGAUUCUUCCCACGGUCACAGUAUUUCUAUGUAGCUAUGCAGAUCUGCUGCUUUAUACUCUAUGAGGAGUGUAGGGUUCUCUUAUCAGCUGUUUUUACAUCCUAACAAUAUGUUUGACUAAUCAUUCAUUUCUUAUAAAGUAUUCUCUAAAGUAAUGCUUAACUAUAAGCAUUGGUUGAUUCCCUCCAGAAGCAGUGUACAUACAAACAUGCAUGAAGAUGUCGAGGACUGUAGUAGGCUAGCAGUGAAUUGUUGGGAAUGUCAGAGUAUGGAAGCACCAAAGAAGUAAAUAAAAGGAAGGAGGCUCUCUGAAUGGCUCGUAUUAAUGUACCGGAGUUGGAAGGCCAUACAGACACCAGUGUACCUGGGUCCAGUUUCAUGAGGCACCCAUUUUUGGAGUCACAGGAUGGAUGUGGCUUCUCAUGUCUCAGAGAGAACUGCUUAGAUGUGACAAAAACUUGACAUCUGCCAUCUGCUGUUAUUCCUGUCAUCACAACAAAUCUUGGACAAGAAGCACAGGAAUCCAGACAUUCAUGUUCUGAAAGAAUUAGUUACCAUAGCAACUAAAACUUAGCAUGACAUAUCCUUUGCUACUCUGCAUCAACCAAGCACUUUUUAAGAGAGGAAAAAAGUCUUAAUUAACCUCUGAAAGAAUUAAAGAGACAAGGUAUUUCUGCGCUGGAAAGAAACUGCACCCAUACUCAGCUUUCCUCUGUAUGAUGAGUGCAAUGGAGCGUGCAGCAGGAGGACAUCAGCAAGACUGAAGCCUUGUGGAUAAAGUUGGUGAAGCAAUGCUUACCUUCUACCUUCAUGAGAACUUAGUUAGCCCUUUCCUGAUGUCUGAAAUAGCACACUAGCAAAAGAUCAAAUAUGGAAGAUUUGAAAUGCUGCUCCUUCGCUUCUUGAUGUAGAUCUCUCCUCAAGCACUGUGUGUGACUCUUCCCCUUAAAACUUGGAGCACUGCAUAAAUUCUGCUGGUCAGACAGUGAUUUCAAAAGGUUGAAUUGUGUAAAAACGUUAAGAUGGAUGUGACUCUGGAAGCUGGUGUAUCUUUGUGCGCCAAUAGAAUCAGUGAGUGAUAUGUGCCACAGCUGUAAUACUGAUAAUGUGCCAAGGUAGAGGAUGUGAAUAAAGAAAAAUAUCAUGUACGUCAUAAAUAUGAUUCCUUAGAAGGAACAGCCACAGGCGUACCGUGGAAAAGAUUUAUGCAAGUGAUUACAGCUCCAUAUUCAGAGAAUCUGAAUAAAGGAAGCAAAGAGGAGCUCUUCAGAUGGCCUUCUCCAGUAUAACGUGGACCAUGAGCCCAGUACCCAGAUAAAAGAUUUUCUGGAGAUCACACAAUCCCAAUCUCUGGUAUCUCCUCAAAAUAAAGGGACAGGACUUGUCCCUUUAAAUGUUUAUUACCAGCAAGACAGUUUCUGGAAUGCCUGAAGAAAGAAGGUGAUGCAGCUGUGCCAUCUCACCUUAACAUUCCACUGGACACUAAUGCAGCACAUACAGAUUGAGUUCCAGAGCAUACUGCAUUUGCUGUUUGACUGCACUGUUAGCAUCUGACAAACACCUUAAGAUGGACUGAAGAACACUCAAGAGAAGCAGUUACCGUAAGUGGAAACUGUAAGCCAUUACAGUACAUUUAAAGUCAGCAGAUCUCAGCACAGCCCAGCUAUGACACAUUCAGAUUUCUAACAAGUGAUUCACUAUACAUAGCAGUCUAGGCACAGGGGCGGCAUGAAGUCAGAAUGCCUUUCUCUAUGGAUCCUAACUUCAGAACACAGCAUUUGGUGAGUUUUUGGGACCCAGAUCAAGGGGAGCUGAUGUAGGAAUUGGCCAAACUCUAGAGAAAACACACCCAACAAAAUUAUUUUCUUUAGCAUUAAUAUAAAACACUAGUGGAAAAGAAGGUACUGUGUUAUAACCUUUGCAGUGAGGCGGCAGAUAGAACAUAGGCAUUAAUAACCUCUACUGUGCAGAAUUUAUCACCUAUGUUACUCUGAAUGCUGACGAACCAGAGCGAGUGCCAGCAGAGUUGUCCCUUGCCCCGUCCCCUGGGAUGUGCUGGUGUCUGAGACUUCCAGCUCUGGAUGUUCAGUGCUCCUUUAGGCAUUGACCUGUGCUAUUCAUCAUCAGGUGCAGCAGACUUGUUCUGCAAUGAUCCUGUCAUUUAUUCCACUUAAGCUCUCUGUAGCUUGCAGCAAAAAAAAAGGCAACAAACCUACAGGAAUGCUUUUUUUUUUUCUCCCAAUUGGUCUCUAUUCAUGGCAAUUAUAUUUCGAUUAAGGCAGCACCAUUUAAUAUCUAACACUGCUUACACAAGUGUCAUUUUAAACAUAGUAAAUACCUUCUGAAAACAUCAAUAACAAUAUAGUUAUUUCCAGCCUCACUAAUACACUAGGCAGCUGAAUGGCAUGCUGAUAGUUGACCAUUUCUAGUUCUGAAGUUACAGUGUUUGCAGUCCUCAUUUGUGACACGAUCAGAACAUUUAUUUCAUACAGAAACUGUCUGAGCUGCAGAUUCCUGACUUGUUCUGGGCUACAGGACUGACAUAACAUUUCUGACUUUUGGCUGAAGGAGGGAAGAGAGACUGUGUAUUGGCUGCUCAGUAGGCACAGCUGUAAGGCAGCUCUCAAUAAUGUGCUGCCACCAUUCAUUCUUGCUUGACUGACUCCUCCUCAACUGAGGAAGAGCCUUUUAGUUGUCCCAUGUAACUCACCUC